UGAGACCUUUUAAAGAGAAACAACUGACUGAGACCUUUUAAAGAGGAACAACUGACUGAGACCUUUAAAUAGAAACAACUGACUGAGACCUUUUAAAGAGGAACAACUGACUGAGACCUUUUAAAGAGGAACAACUGACUGAGACCUUUUAAAGAGGAACAACUGACUGAGACCUUUUAAAGAGGAACAACUGACUGAGACCUUUUAAAGAGGAACAACUGACUGAGACCUUUUAAAGAGGCACAACUGACUGAGACCUUUUAAAGAGGCACAACUGACUGAGACCUUUUAAAGAGGAACAACUGACUGAGACCUUUUAAAGAGGAGCAACUGCACAGUGUGUUAGGUACAAUAAGACUUGCCUUUCUCUUCUGCAUGUUUAACCAUCUAUAGCCAUAUGAUGAUGUCUGUGGACUGCUUGUUUCUAAUCACCAACUCCAAUCUAAAUGUCCGACUGACUUUAAACAUGUGUUUUUCACUGUGCUGUAUACUGUGGGGUAAUUCUUUUGCUUCUGGCAGAGUUCUGGACGAACAGAAUGAUAAUGCAAAUCUUGUACAAUCUGAUGCACUAUGGUAUCCUAUGUUUUUGAUAUAACACACUUCUUUUUAAAUGGUAGGAUUGUUUUCAUAGGUAGAUGACACUGGUCGCACACUAUUUUCAUACGUCGAUUUGUAUUGUGUACUGUGUGAGUAUCCACUUAUACAGAAGGAAUGUGUGAGAUUACUGACUGACUGAGUGGAAUGGAGAAAUGCCCACUGGUAGGUUAGAUGUAAUACUACGAUGUACCACAGGGUGGCGCAGCAUUAAUGUAAUACCAUGAUGUACCACAGGGUGGCGCAGCAUUAAUGUAAUACCAUGAUGUACCACAGGGUGGCGCAGCAUUAAUGUAAUACCACGAUGUACCACAGGGUGGCGCAGCAUUAAUGUAAUACCACGAUGUACCACAGGGUGGCGCAGCAUUAAUGUAAUACCACGAUGUACCACAGGGUGGCGCAGCAUUAAUGUAAUACCAUGAUGUACCACAGGGCGGCGCAGCAUUAAUGUAAUACCACGAUGUACCACAGGGUGGCGCAGCAUUAAUGUAAUACCAUGAUGUACCACAAGGCGGCGCAGCAUUAAUGUAAUACCAUGAUGUACCACAGGGUGGCGCAGCAUUAAUGUAAUACCAUGAUGUACCACAAGGCGGCGCAGCAUUAAUGUAAUACCAUGAUGUACCACAGGGUGGCGCAGCAUUAAUGUAAUACCAUGAUGUACCACAGGGUGGCGCAGCAUUAAUGUAAUACCAUGAUGUACCACAGGGUGGUGCAGCAUUAAUGUAAUACCAUGAUGUACCACAGGGUGGCGCAGCAUUAAUGUAAUACCAUGAUGUACCACAGGGUGGCGCAGCAUUAAUGUAAUACCAUGAUGUACCACAGGGUGGCGCAGCAUUAAUGUAAUACCAUGAUGUACCACAGGGUGGCGCAGCAUUAAUGUAAUACCAUGAUGUACCACAGGGUGGCGCAGCUAUCUUAGAAACCACUACUGACUUCUUAUUGGCAUGCAACGCAGUCACUUUAAAACACGUCACACCACUCGGGAGCAUGGAGACAAAUCUAAUAUAAUUUUGCACAAAAUGAUAACCUUGUUUAUUACUGGUAUUGCUUAGAUAAUUUGUAAGGUGUGUAGUUUGGUCUUGUUUUGUGAAGUGUUGCUUUCCAAUCACUUUGGGAUUAGAUGUUUUAUUAACUGAAUUCUUGUAAAAAAAAAUAAAAAAUGUGAUUUUUGAA